rnacentral:rRNA from 1 species
CACGUAGGGCGCAAGCGUUGUCCGGAAUUACUGGGCGUAAAGGGCGCGUAGGCGGUUCGUUAAGUCCUGUGUGAAAUCCCCCGGCUCAACUGGGGAACUGCACAGGAAGCUAGCGGGCUUGAGUUCGGGAGAGGGAAGCGGAAUUCCGGGUGUAGCGGUGAAAUGCGUAGAUAUCCGGAGGAACACCGGUGGCGAAGGCGGCUUCCUGGACCGACACUGACGCUGAGGCGCGAAAGCUAGGGGAGCAAACGGG